rnacentral:rRNA from 1 species
CCGAUAGUGAACCAGUACCGUGAGGGAAAGGUGAAAAGCACCCCGGGAGGGGAGUGAAAUAGAACCUGAAACCGUGUGCCUACAACAAGUUCGAGCCCGUUAAUGGGUGAGAGCGUGCCUUUUGUAGAAUGAACCGGCGAGUUACGUUAUGAUGCGAGGUUAAGUUGAAGAGACGGAGCCGUAGGGAAACCGAGUCUGAAUAGGGCGCCUUAGUAUCAUGACGUAGACCCGAAACCAUGUGACCUACCCAUGAGCAGGUUGAAGGUGCGGUAAGACGCACUGGAGGACCGAACCAGGGCACGUUGAAAAGUGCUUGGAUGACUUGUGGGUAGCGGAGAAAUUCCAAACGAACUUGGAGAUAGCUGGUUCUCUCCGAAAUAGCUUUAGGGCUAGCGUCGACAUUAGAGAUUCUUGGAGGUAGAGCACUGUUUGGGUGAGGGGUCCAUCCCGGAUUACCAAUCUCAGAUAAACUCCGAAUGCCAAUGAAUUAUGGUCGGCAGUCAGACUGCGAGUGCUAAGAUCCGUAGUCGAAAGGGAAACAGCCCAGACCACCAGCUAAGGUCCCAAAAUAAUUGUUAAGUGGAAAAGGAUGUGGGGUUGCACAGACAACUAGGAUGUUAGCUUAGAAGCAGCUAUUCAUUCAAAGAGUGCGUAAUAGCUCACUAGUCGAGUGACCCUGCGCCGAAAAUGUACCGGGGCUAAAACAAUUUACCGAAGCUGUGGAUACCUUUAUAGGUAUGGUAGGAGAGCGUUCUAUGUGUGAUGAAGGUAUACCGUGAGGAGUGCUGGAACGCAUAGAAGUGAGAAUGCCGGUAUGAGUAGCGAAAGACAGGUGAGAAUCCUGUCCACCGUAAGACUAAGGUUUCCAGGGGAAGGCUCGUCCGCCCUGGGUUAGUCGGGACCUAAGGAGAGACCGAAAGGUGUAUCCGAUGGACAACAGGUUGAUAUUCCUGUACUAGAGUAUGUAGUGAUGGAGGGACGCAGUAGGCUAACUAAAGCAGACGAUUGGAAGAGUCUGUCUAAGCAGUGAGGUGUGAAUUGAGUCAAAUGCUUAAUUCUAUAACAUUGAGCUGUGAUGGGGAGCGAAGUUUAGUAGCGAAGUUAGUGACGUCACACUGCCAAGAAAAGCUUCUAGCGUUUAACCAUACUCUACCCGUACCGCAAACCGACACAGGUAGUCGAGGCGAGUAGCCUCAGGUGAGCGAGAGAACUCUCGUUAAGGAACUCGGCAAAAUGACCCCGUAACUUCGGGAGAAGGGGUGCUGACUUUAAGUCAGCCGCAGUGAAUAGGCCCAAGCAACUGUUUAUCAAAAACACAGCUCUCUGCUAAAUCGUAAGAUGAUGUAUAGGGGGUGACGCCUGCCCGGUGCUGGAAGGUUAAGAGGAGUGCUUAGCGUAAGCGAAGGUAUGAAUUGAAGCCCCAGUAAACGGCGGCCGUAACUAUAACGGUCCUAAGGUAGCGAAAUUCCUUGUCGGGUAAGUUCCGACCCGCACGAAAGGCGUAAUGAUUUGGGCACUGUCUCAACGAGAGACUCGGUGAAAUUUUAGUACCUGUGAAGAUGCAGGUUACCCGCGACAGGACGGAAAGACCCCAUGGAGCUUUACUGCAGUUUGAUAUUGAGUGUCUGUACCACAUGUACAGGAUAGGUAGGAGUCUAAGAGAUCGGGACGCCAGUUUCGAAGGAGACGCUGUUGGGAUACUACCCUUGUGUUAUGGCCACUCUAACCCAGAUAGGUGAUCCCUAUCGGAGACAGUGUCUGACGGGCAGUUUGACUGGGGCGGUCGCCUCCUAAAAGGUAACGGAGGCGCCCAAAGGUUCCCUCAGAAUGGUUGGAAAUCAUUCGCAGAGUGUAAAGGUAUAAGGGAGCUUGACUGCGAGAGCUACAACUCGAGCAGGGACGAAAGUCGGGCUUAGUGAUCCGGUGGUUCCGUAUGGAAGGGCCAUCGCUCAACGGAUAAAAGCUACCCUGGGGAUAACAGGCUUAUCUCCCCCAAGAGUUCACAUCGACGGGGAGGUUUGGCACCUCGAUGUCGGCUCGUCGCAUCCUGGGGCUGUAGUCGGUCCCAAGGGUUGGGCUGUUCGCCCAUUAAAGCGGCACGCGAGCUGGGUUCAGAACGUCGUGAGACAGUUCGGUCCCUAUCCGUCGCGGGCGUAGGAAAUUUGAGAGGAUCUGCUCCUAGUACGAGAGGACCAGAGUGGACUUACCGCUGGUGUACCAGUUGUCUUGCCAAAGGCAUCGCUGGGUAGCUAUGUAGGGAAGGGAUAAACGCUGAAAGCAUCUAAGUGUGAAACCCACCUCAAGAUGAGAUUUCCCAUGAUUAUAUAUCAGUAAGAGCCCUGAGAGAUGAUCAGGUAGAUAGGUUAGAAGUGGAAGUGUGGCGACACAUGUAGCGGACUAAUACUAAUAGCUCGAGGACUUAUCCAA